rnacentral:rRNA from 1 species
UACGUAGGCAGCAAGCGUUGUUCGGAGUUACUGGGCGUAAAGGGUGCGUAGGCGGGUCUUUAAGUCAGGGGUGAAAUCCUGGAGCUCAACUCCAGAACUGCCCUUGAUACUGAGGAUCUUGAGUUCGGGAGAGGUGAGUGGAACUGCGAGUGUAGAGGUGAAAUUCGUAGAUAUUCGCAAGAACACCAGUGGCGAAGGCGGCUCACUGGCCCGAUACUGAUGCUGAGGCACGAAAGCGUGGGGAGCAAACAGG